UACGGGGGGGGCAGGCGUUGUUCGGAAUUACUGGGCGUAAAGGGCUCGUAGGUGGCCAACUAAGUCAGACGUGAAAUCCCUCGGCUUAACCGGGGAACUGCGUCUGAUACUGGAUGGCUUGAGUUCGGGAGAGGGAUGCGGAAUUCCAGGUGUAGCGGUGAAAUGCGUAGAUAUCUGGAGGAAUACCGGUGGCGAAGGCGGCAUCCUGGACCAUUACUGACGCUGAGGCGCGAAAGCUAGGGGAGCAAACGGG
rnacentral:rRNA from 1 species